UCGCAAUCAUCUCAUAUAACCUUCACAGGGAUACUAUAUGUUUGGAGACUGGAAGUCCAAGAUCAAAGUACUGGCAAAUUCAGUGACAGUUACCUCACCUCAAGGUUGCAAGACAACUGCUGCAGAUCUAAUCAUCAUUGUGUCUACAUACAAGGCAGGAAGACUGGAGAAGUGCUGAGACUGCAAGAUUUUCUGUUGCUUCUGCUGCAUACACACACACAGAAACACACACAAUACACACUCACUUCUGUUUAUGUCAGAUUGCCCAGAACUGUGCCAUAUAACUACAUUUAACUUCCAUAAAGGCUGGGAAAGUGAAUAUUGAGUUUUCACCAUCUGUAAUGGGAAGACAGAAAGGUAAAAAGAUAUUGAGAAAAGCUUUUAGGCUAAAGGCUAAUGAACAAUGUUUGCCACAGUCAC